CGAAUAAUACCUAAAUAGGUAUUGGCUAUGACUGUUAAUCAGAGGGUCGCUGGUUCGAGCCCAGCUUCGG
rnacentral:tRNA from 1 species